rnacentral:rRNA from 1 species
UACGUAGGGGGCAAGCGUUGUCCGGAUUUAUUGGGCGUAAAGAGCUCGUAGGUGGUUCGGUAAGUCGGAUGUGAAAUCUCCACGCUCAACGUGGAGGGGCCACCCGAAACUGCCAUGGCUUGAGUCCGGUAGGGGAGUGUGGAAUUCCCGGUGUAGCGGUGAAAUGCGCAGAUAUCGGGAGGAACACCCGUAGCGAAGGCGGCACUCUGGGCCGGUACUGACGCUGAGGAGCGAAAGCGUGGGGAGCAAACAGG